CCUACGGGAGGCAGCAGUGAGGAAUAUUGGUCAAUGGACGAGAGUCUGAACCAGCGAAGUCGCGUGAAGGAUGACUGCCCUAUGGGUUGUAAACUUCUUUUGUAAAGGAAUAAAACGAGGCACGUGUGCCUUUUUGCAUGUACUUUAUGAUUAAGGAUCGGCUAACUCCGUGCCAGCAGCCGCGGUAAUACGGAGGAUCCGAGCGUUAUCCGGAUUUAUUGGGUUUAAAGGGAGCGUAGAUGGGUUGUUAAGUCAGUUGUGAAAGUUUGCGGCUCAACCGUAAAAUUGCAAUUGAUACUGGCAGUCGUGAGUACAGUUGAGGUAGGCGGAAUUCGUGGUGUAGCGGUGAAAUGCUUAGAUAUCACGAAGAACCCCGAUUGCGAAGGCAGCUUACUAAACUGUGACUGACAUUGAUGCUCGAAAGUGUGGGUAUCAAACAGGAUUAGAUACCCCUGUAGUC
rnacentral:rRNA from 1 species